GCCGCCUCAGGGUAAACCUGUCGAAAGGCAGGGGCACAAAGCCAUGGGUCUAAGGCCCCCGCAACCGGGGCUAUGAUCGCCAGGCUGCCGGC
rnacentral:ncRNA from 1 species